CAUUAGGAAAAAAAGAAAGUCUAAUAGAAAGACUCUUAGCCUCCUUACAAAUAACGUACAGUAAAAUAUGACAUGCAAAUCCAAAAGCCAUCAUAAUUACGUACAUACCAGAAAUCAGAGUAAAAAUUAAGGGAAAACCCUCAUGUAUUAAUUAACAGUUCAACUAAGACUAAAUUUUCAUUCUCCUUUCUUCUUGAAG